GGUGAGGUGUCCGAGUGGCUGAAGGAGCACGCACACCGGAAAGUGUGUGUAUACGGCAACGUAUCGGGGGUUCGAAUCCCCCCCUCACCGCCA
rnacentral:tRNA from 1 species